rnacentral:misc_RNA from 1 species
UUCCAGAGAUCAUGCUCUCAAACCCUGCAAUACCUUCUGCAGGGGUAGCCACUGACCUCACUUGGAAAAGCUUUCUGGGCGGUUUUGUCGAAGUUGAAAGAGAAAUGAAGCGGAAGGUUUUGGCGAGGAAGGGUUGAGGCAAAAUCUUGGGGUGAUGAGAGAAGAAAGCUGCCAUUGCCAUGGAAUUUCUUGCAGUUAAGCUGCGA